UACGUAGGGUGCAAGCGUUGUCCGGAAUUAUUGGGCGUAAAGAGCUCGUAGGCGGCUUGUUGCGUCGGCUGUGAAAACCCAUGGCUUAACUGUGGGCUUGCAGCCGAUACGGGCAGGCUAGAGUUCGGUAGGGGGAGACUGGGAUUCCUGGUGUAGCGGUGGAAUGCGCAGAUAUCAGGAGGAACACCGGUGGCGAAAGGCGGGACUCUGGGGCCGAUACUGACGUGAGGAGCGAAAAGCGUGGGGGAGCAAAACAGG
rnacentral:rRNA from 1 species